rnacentral:rRNA from 1 species
GAGUUUGAUUCUGGCUCAGGAUGAACGCUAGCGGGAGGCCUAACACAUGCAAGCCGAGGGAGAAUUACUUUUCGGAGUAAGGACACCGGCGAACGGGUGAGUAACGCGUAUGCAACUUGCCCUUAUCUGGGGGAUAACCCGGGGAAACUCGGACUAAUAUCCCAUAAUAAUAUGAAUAGCAUUAUUUAUAUUUAAAAGAUUUAUCGGAUAAGGAUAGGCAUGCGUAGGAUUAGUUAGUUGGUGAGGUAACGGCUCACCAAGACGAUGAUCCUUAGGGGGCCUGAGAGGGUGAUCCCCCACACUGGUACUGAGACACGGACCAGACUCCUACGGGAGGCAGCAGUGAGGAAUAUUGGACAAUGGGUGAGAGCCUGAUCCAGCCAUCCCGCGUGCAGGAAGACGGCCCUAUGGGUUGUAAACUGCUUUUAUACAGGAAUAAACCUACUUACGUGUGAGUAGUUGAAGGUACUGUAAGAAUAAGCAUCGGCUAACUCCGUGCCAGCAGCCGCGGUAAUACGGAGGAUGCAAGCGUUAUCCGGAUUUAUUGGGUUUAAAGGGUCCGUAGGCGGGCUAAUAAGUCAGUGGUGAAAGCCGGCAGCUUAACUGUCGAACUGCCAUUGAUACUGUUAGUCUUGAGUGAAUUUGAAGUUGCCGGAAUAUGUAGUGUAGCGGUGAAAUGCAUAGAUAUUACAUAGAACACCUAUUGCGAAGGCAGGUAACUAAGAUUUAACUGACGCUGAUGGACGAAAGCGUGGGGAGCGAACAGGAUUAGAUACCCUGGUAGUCCACGCAGUAAACGAUGAUUACUCGUUUUCGGUACGUAGUAUCGGAGACCAAGCGAAAGUGAUNAAGUAAUCCACCUGGGGGAGUACGUUCGCAAGAAUGAAACUCAAAGGAAUUGACGGGGGGCCCCGCCACAAGCCGGUGGAAGCAUGUGGGUUUUAAUUNCGAUGAAUACCCCGAGGNAACCUUUACCAAGG